rnacentral:rRNA from 1 species
AUUGAACGCUGGCGGCAUGCCUUACACAUGCAAGUCGAACGGCAGCACGGGAGCAAUCCUGGUGGCGAGUGGCGAACGGGUGAGUAAAGUAUCGGAACGUGCCCAGUCGUGGGGGAUAACGUAGCGAAAGUUACGCUAAUACCGCAUACGAUCUAUGGAUGAAAGCGGGGGAUCGCAAGACCUCGCGCGAUUGGAGCGGCCGAUAUCAGAUUAGGUAGUUGGUGGGGUAAAGGCUCACCAAGCCGACGAUCUGUAGCUGGUCUGAGAGGACGACCAGCCGCACUGGGACUGAGACACGGCCCAGAAUCCUACGGGAGGCAGCAGUGGGGAAUUUUGGAGAAUGGGCGAAAGCCUGAUCCAGCCAUGCCGCGUGCAGGAUGAAGGCCUUCGGGUUGUAAACUGCUUUUGUACGGAACGAAAAGGUUUGGCCUAAUAAGCUGAGCUCAUGACGGUACCGUAAGAAUAAGCACCGGCUAACUACGUGCCAGCCGCCGCGGUAA